ACGACCGUAGCUCAACUGAUGAGAGUGCCGCAAUGCUGUUCUGGAGGCCGCGGGUUCAAAUCCCGCCGUCCGUC
rnacentral:tRNA from 1 species